GGAAGCGUCUGGAAAGGCGCGCGAUACAGGGUGACAGCCCCGUACACAAAAGCGCAUGUGUUGUGAGCUCGAUGAGUAGGGCGGGACACGUGGUAUCCUGUCUGAAUAUGGGGGGACCAUCCUCCAAGGCUAAAUACUCCUGACUGACCGAUAGUGAACCAGUACCGUGAGGGAAAGGCGAAAAGAACCCCGGCGAGGGGAGUGAAAAAGAACCUGAAACCGUGUACGUACAAGCAGUGGGAGCACAGGUUUACCUGUGUGACUGCGUACCUUUUGUAUAAUGGGUCAGCGACUUAUAUUCUGUAGCAAGGUUAACCGUAUAGGGGAGCCGGAGGGAAACCGAGUCUUAAUUGGGCGUUAAGUUGCAGGGUAUAGACCCGAAACCCGGUGAUCUAGCCAUGGGCAGGUUGAAGGUUGGGUAACACUAACUGGAGGACCGAACCGACUAAUGUUGAAAAAUUAGCGGAUGACCUGUGGCUGGGGGUGAAAGGCCAAUCAAACCGGGAGAUAGCUGGUUCUCCCCGAAAGCUAUUUAGGUAGCGCCUCGUGAAUUCAUCUCCGGGGGUAGAGCACUGUUUCGGCUAGGGGGCCAUCCCGGCUUACCAACCCGAUGCAAACUGCGAAUACCGGAGAAUGUUAUCACGGGAGACACACGGCGGGUGCUAACGUCCGUCGUGAAGAGGGAAACAACCCAGACCGCCAGCUAAGGUCCCAAAGUCAUGGUUAAGUGGGAAACGAUGUGGGAAGGCCCAGACAGCCAGGAUGUUGGCUUAGAAGCAGCCAUCAUUUAAAGAAAGCGUAAUAGCUCACUGGUCGAGUCGGCCUGCGCGGAAGAUGUAACGGGGCUAAACCAUGCACCGAAGCUGCGGCAGCGACACUGUGUGUUGUUGGGUAGGGGAGCGUUCUGUAAGC
rnacentral:rRNA from 1 species